rnacentral:rRNA from 1 species
GAUGAACGCUGGCGGCGUGCUUAACACAUGCAAGUCGAGCGGAAAGGCCCGGCUGUUGGGGGGUGCGCGAGUGGCGAACGGGUGAGUGACACGUGAGUAACCUGCCCUUGACUGGGGGAUAACUUCUGGAGACUGGGGCUAAUACCGGAGAGGAGCUCCUGCUGCAUGGUGGGGGGUGGAAAGUUUCGGCGGUUGGGGAUGGACUCGCGGCUUAUCAGCUUGUUGGUGUGGUAGUGGCUUACCAAGGCUUGGACGGGUAGCCGGCCUGAGAGGGUGACCGGCGACAUUGGGACUGAGAGACGGCCCAGACUCCUACGGGAGGCAGCAGUGGGGAGUAUUGCGCAGUGGGCCGAAGCCUGAUGCAGCAGCGCCGGGUGCGGAAUGACGGCUUUCGGGUUGUAAACCGCUUUCGCCUGUGACGAAGAGUGAGUGACGGUAAUGGGUAAAGAAGCACCGGCUAACUACGUG